rnacentral:lncRNA from 1 species
UGAACUGAAAGAACAAAUCGCCUACUUCAGGCGGUGGCAAGCGUAUGGAAAUUAUAUUAGAACUUCAGCAAAGUGCACAGCUGCAUAAUAGAGAAGCCGGCACUCAGAUUGACAGGCAAAUAAGCCAGCUUGUGGAAGGGGCCUCUGGGUGGCAGCUCUGGGCUUUUGGGUGUUGGACAACCAUAGGCAAAACUGAAAUGGAACAGGGGCAGAAAAUAGCACACUUUUACUCUACGCAACUGUUGCUUUUUCAUGAUCUUCAGGAAUUUUACUGGGAUAAUUAUCCAAAUAAAUUGCAAGCAUUCUAUCCAAAUGGAGCUCUUUCUGAGAUGAAGAGAAUUCUCAAUGUCAAGAUUUGAACAAGAAGAGAAUGGAAUACACAAUAUGGACAUCCAUAAAAAUUCAUCAGAGAGCAUUUUACUACUGAGCUGCAAAGGGAAAAACUUAAAAUGGAUAUGAAAAGUGAAGAAAGUGAUCAUAGGAGAAAACCAUUUCAGAUGACAAGAGCACCUCAAAGGCAGCAGCCUCAAGGAGCAGCCAUGGCCCCAGACUUGUCGCACGGAUGCAGAAAACUUAAUGGAGGAGGCUGAGGUCAGAAUGGGAAGAGUUUUUAAAAAAUAAAAAGGGGAGCUAAUAUGUGAGGAACUGAUUGCUGUGCAUUAUUUUCCACUGAACAGACCUUCUUUUAACUUCUAAUCUCAAGCACAUAGCAGCUGUUGUUUUCAUAUUAAAGAUCAGUAAGUGUUUGUUGAAUGAAUGUAUAAAUUCUUCCCCAAUCUCUGUUCCAUGUAAUAAGAACUAAGUUAGCAUUCAAUUAUAAAGAGGACUUAGAAAGUCUGCAGACAUUUUUGAUCAAAAAUCCUUUUAACUGUCUUCUUAUGGUUCCCGGUAACACCUAAGCCCAAAAAACUCAGGUCAUUUCUUGCCUGUACUGUUGCAAUAGCCUCAUAAUAACUAGUCUUCUCCUUUAUCAACCACAGUCGUCUCCGCUACACAAAGAAGAGAGGGUGCUAAUCUAAAGUGUAAAUUAUUUUAAAUCAGCACCCUUCUUGUAAUUUCCCAGUGGUUUUUCCUGUCAUAAGAAUAACAUGCAAAAUUCCUUGCUUGCAAAGCCAGGUAUGACCUUGCCCCGUCUACCUUACUGGCAUCGUCUCUCAUGACUCUUCCCCUUUUUCACUCUCCAUCUUGCCUUUUCCCAACCAUGCCUGCUAGUGAGCCUUAGCCCUUGUGUUUUCUCUGCCAGGGAUGCAUGACUGGCUUCUUUACUUUAUUCUGAUCUCUCUGCUCAAAUGUCAUCUUUUUAGAGAUAGCUUUCCUAAACAUCUUUAAAAGUACCCCAUGAACUGUGAAACACCUUUCCUGCUUUUUCUUCAUAGUACUUAUCACUUCCUGAUAUUAUGUUAGACAACAAGCAAAUAAGUAUAUGCUGUUCCCACUAAAAUAUAAGCUCCAUUUGAACAGGAGCCUUGAUUAUUCCUGAGUAUACCCCUAGUGCCCAGAACCUAGUAGGGCUUUAAUAAAUAUUAGAUUCAUUUGUUGAAUGAAAAAAUGAAUGAAUAAUUGAAUAAAGAUAUCCAGGUAGAGUGUCCGGGCAGCCCAACCUAUGUGAAGCCAGUACAAGAAUGUUUCUGUGACAUAGUGAGCGCAAUUAUUCCUCUAAAUGAUGAACUUGCAUGAGUACACAAGGAUAAAAUUAAGCACGUAGUUUAGAUUUCUGCAAGUCUCUUCCUCAGAUUGAGGAAAAACAAAGAAAUUGAGCUUAUUCUCACCUCAUUCUUACAUGAACUAAAUCCAGAAUAAAGCAUCAUUUAAAUACCAAGCACAUCCCUACCUCAGCCACUCAUGGAAUACUUUAUCUGUAAAGGGACAGAUAGAUAGUAAAUAUUUUUGGCUUUGGGGACCGUACAGUCUGUGUCGCCACUACUCAGCACUUCUGUUGAGGUGUGGAAUCAGCCCUAGACAACACAUAAACAAAUGGGUGUGGCUGUGUUCCAAUAAAAUGUUAUUUAUAAAACUAGGAAAUCAGCAGAUUUAGUCCACAGGCUGUAGUUUGCUGACCCUUGAAUUAGAGAGUCUUCCCCAAAUCCUCUUCCCAAGUUAUUGAAAGAAUGCCCAUAGGACCAUAGCUCCCUCACCUGGUUCUUUCAAGAAAUGAGACAAAUUCAGGGAUGGUUGGAGGGUGGAACGCCUACCUGUGACAUGACUAUUGAGCCUGAUUUCUUUCCUUUUAUCUCUUUAAAGUGAGUCAGGUCUUAACUUUAAACUGUCUCUAAAGUGGCAAUAACUGGGCCAUGUCAAAUACUCCCAAUGACAAAAUUUCUUCUUGGAGAAUGAAUGAGGGUUGCAUACAGUGGUGUGUUGGUAAAUGUUUAGCAACUGGCUCUCUUACUGAUUUCUGUAGUGUAAAUUCUCCCAUCCUGGCCAUCUGAAACUACCAAUAUGAUGUCACUUGAUGUAGAGUUGGGAAAAGACAGUCUCUUGAAUAAGUAUGAGCUGGUUCCAGCCCACUGCUGAACACAUAUUUAAAAGCUACAAUAGCUCUGCUCACUGCCAUUGCAGAGUCUGGAGGAAAGAGUAGCAGGCUUGAUAGGAGCAAUUGGCUGAAUAAUCUUUUGCAAUGCCAAUAAAUAAUGAAAAAGUAUAUAAAUAUAACGCUGUAUAGAAAGCUCUCAAGUUCAGUGUUUGGUUAAAAUACAUACUCAGUAAAUGGUAGCUAUUAUUGUCUUAGUUUAAGUUAUUGCAAGCAUUAAAAUUAAAUGUUUAGCUACAGACUCAAUCCAGUUUUAAUGUCAUUGUGUUAAUAAGGCCUCUUAACAUUGAAGCAACAAAGAUAAAGGAAUUUUUUUGUAGCUAUUCACGAUUCUGCCCAGCUCAAGGUAAAGAUAGCAACAAAAUACUCCAACCAGAAUAAAAGAAGUCUCCACUUGACUGCAGCUCUUCGCAACACUUCACAAGGGUCAAGCUGUGUUAGUUUCCUUCAGUGUUAAACAGAAUGCAUCUUAAGAGAAUAGUUCAAUUAUUGAUUGAAUAGUAGGUUCAAGUUGACUAUAAUCCCAACUAAUACACUCUAAGACCAGGGAUGGGCCGACAGAAGGGUAAAGUUUUCCACUCAAGUCUCGAGGCAAACACUCAGAUAGAAGUAGUAAUAUGGAUGCCUUCUAUUAUUUGGUCACAUACAAUACUGUUCCAGCCCAGUUGUGCAAAACUGGUGAAAUAAAAGGCAAAAAUAUUGACAACAGUUUGGGUAACUGGAUUCCAAAAUGGGCAUCCAUCUAAGAG